rnacentral:rRNA from 1 species
GACGAACGCUGGCGGCGUGCCUAAUACAUGCAAGUCGAGCGGACGGACCAGAAGCUUGCUUCUUAGUCGUUAGCGGCGGACGGGUGAGUAACACGUGGAUAACCUACCUAGAAGACGGGGAUAACUUCGAGAAACCGGAGCUAAUACCGGAUAAUAUUCUGAAUCGCAUGGCGCAUCGGUGAAAGACGGCGCUGGCGGCAGUUAUAGAGGGAUCCCGGCUGGAUUAGCUAGUUGGGAGGGUAACGGCUUACCAAGGCGACGAUGCGUAGCCGACCUGAGAGGGUGAUCGGCCACACUGGAACUGAGACACGGUCCAGACUCCUACGGGAGGCAGCAGUAGGGAAUCUUCCGCAAUGGGCGAAAGUCUGACGGAGCAACGCCGCGUGAGCGAAGAAGGCCUUCGGGUCGUAAAGCUCUGUUGUUAGGGAAGAACAGGUGUCGCAGUAACUGUCGCCAUCGUGACGGUACCUAAUCAGAAAGCCACGGCUAACUACGUG